rfam:Myotis lucifugus cont2.53041, whole genome shotgun sequence.
AGGCCCAGAGAGAGAGAGGCAGGGUCUGAUCCACAGCCUCUAUGGCAGCUGUUGAUCAGCCAUUGCCUCUCUUUUUCUCUCCU